rnacentral:lncRNA from 1 species
GGUUGAACUCUAUUGAACCCAAACCAUAUUGGUUCAUGAUCUUAAAAAUUCCGGUUCAUUUACCGGUCCAUUUUUUAAAAGAAUGCAUAUUAGAGAACAUGUAUAAUUUAAUCACAUAAUAAGAGGACUAUAGUAAAUAACACGUUUAGAAAAAAUGUACAUUAAAUUAUUUCCCUACGAACACUUUUAACAAUUAAGUACAAAAAAAUAAAAAAAAAAUACUUUAAACAAUUUUAAUUGGAAUGGACCAAAAUUUAUGUCAAACUUGAUGGGUUCACAACAUCUGAUGGGCUAAUAAGAUUAAGAAAAAAAUUGCCCGAAAAUAAUUAUUAGCCAAUACUUUGUAAAACUAAUUACUGGGAACAAAAAAACCCUCGGUUUACAGGCAAUCAACAAUAACAAUUGUGAAUAAAUUCACGCACAGAAAGAAAAGGAAACUUGUUUUGAAAAUAUAAUCUCUAUUGAAUAAUAGAAGAUCUGUAACAUAAUUAUUCAUAAUUUGCGUGCCUAUGCAUGGGCAUUCAGGGUCUCAAUCGGGUUCGGUUUAGUUCAAUCGGGUUUCAGUUUUUUGGGUUUAUCAAAAUUAGCCUCAUUCGGGUUAUAGGGAAAAUCGGUUCAGGACCGGUUCGAGUUCUAUCGGAUUCGGGUCGGGGUUAGUAAAUCUUCAAAGAACCUGUAUAGCCCGAUGUACUUUCGGGUUCGGGUCCCAAUCGGUUCUUCGGUUUAAGUGUAUAUGAUUUAUAUCUACUUUAUAAACAAAAAUUAAGUAAAAUCGGUUCUUCGGUUUUAAAAUGCUUGAUUUGUACCUAUUUUAUAACCAAAACAUAAAUACAAUUGGUUGCAAAAAAAAAAGGAACAUCAAAUGUGAUCAUUCAAAAUCAAGUGAAAGGUAAACAUAGUCAUUGAUCGAAAGAAAACCAAAUAAAUAAAAGUAUAAAACGAAAAGCAAGUUCUCAUAAAAUGAAAAACAUUAUUCAAUGAAAACAAAACCAAAAGCUUCAACCUUCAACCGCCACCUUCAACCGCCACC